AUGACGAUGGCGAGGACGGCGAAGGAGAAGCAAGCCGGCGGAGCUGAAACAAGGGAAGUGCUCCUCGGCAGGUCACCUGAGAUUCCCAGCAAGAUGGUGCAUGAUUGGGAAAAAAUAGUCCUGGACUUCGGCAGCAGCGACGAAUCAACAAUUCAUCCAGGAAAUGACCUCCUCGUACAAGCCCUGCAGCAUUAUUUUGGUAACACGUAUUUGGUGCAGCCAGAACAUCACAUGGUUGGUUUCUGGGGAUCUAAGAUGAAGCAAGCUGCAGAAUUGAUACGCCCAGGUGAAAAGGGUCGAAAAUACAUAUUUCUCCUGAAUAACACAUGUGUUGUUCGUCAAAUGGUGCGGCGUCCAGGAACAACUUUCCCCAAUGUAGAACCCCUGCUCACUUCAAUGAUCAAGCGAUACACGAAGUGCUACUUGGACGAGUGUUGGGCUCCGCUCAAGUGUUUAAGCUCGGAGGAGUUUACCGCCGAAUUUCUUGCCGCCUGUAAUCGCCAGAUGAAGUGGAAGGUUGCAGCCGAGGUCAGGUACAAACUGCGGCAGGAGAUUGCGGAAUUGAUCGUUCCACCGUGUGACGGAAGCCAUGUGAUAGAAGGGUUAUUUGAAGGAUGA
rnacentral:rRNA from 1 species